CUGGAAAGCAGGAAUAGGGAAAGGGGUGGGAAAAACCUCCUGAGGAAUCAGAGGCUGAGUCUGAGCCAGAUGCAACUUCUAUUUUGAUUGAGAGAUGAAAAGUCAUCAUUUUAAUUCAGGUCAAAUAAGCAUUCCUGAAAGAAGCCAAGAGGAAGGCACAUUUUCAACAUGACAUAAAAAAAGGGCUGAUAUAACAAAGAAAUUAAAGAAUAUCAAAGCCAACACAGUAAAAAGCAAUGGCAUCCUCAACAAGAAAGGGAAUGUGAAACUGAAUACAGGUACCAGGAAUCAGAAGAGUGCCAGGAAGAGAAUGAU